rnacentral:rRNA from 1 species
GCAAGUCGAGCGGAAACGACCUAGCUUGCUAGGGGCGUCGAGCGGCGGACGGGUGAGUAACGCAUAGGAAUCUGCCUAGUAGAGGGGGAUAGCCCGGGGAAACCCGGAUUAAUACCGCAUACGCCCUACGGGGGAAAGCAGGGGAUCUUCGGACCUUGUACUAUUAGAUGAGCCUAUGUCGGAUUAGCUAGUUGGUAAGGUAAUGGCUUACCAAGGCGACGAUCCGUAGCUGGUCUGAGAGGAUGAUC